rnacentral:rRNA from 1 species
GACGAACGCUGGCGGCGUGCUUAACACAUGCAAGUCGAACGAAGUGGCGAACGGGUGAGUAACGCGUAAUCAACCUGCCCUUCAGAGGGGGACAACAGUUGGAAGCGACUGCUAAUACCGCAUACUGAAGGAGGGGCUUGCGUCUGAUUAGCUAGUUGGAGGGGUAACGGCCCACCAAGGCGAUGCUCAGUAGCGGGGCUGAGAGGAUGAACGGCAACAAUGGGACUGAGACAAGGACCAGACGCCUACGGGAGGCAGCAGUGGGGAGUCUUCCGAAAUAGACGAAAGUCUGACGGAGCAACGCCGCGUGAGUGAUGACGGCCUUCGGGUUGUAAAGCGCUGUUAAUCGGGACGCGGUACCGGAAUAGAAAGCCACGGCUAACUACGUGACAGCCGCCGCGGUAAUUC